rnacentral:rRNA from 1 species
AUUGAACGCUGGCGGCAGGCCUAACACAUGCAAGUCGAGCGGAGCGGCGGACGGGUGAGUAAUGCCUAGGUAUCUGCCUGGUCGUGGGGGAUAACGUCCGCAAACGGGCGCUAAUACCGCAUACUCUCAGAUGAGCCUAGGUCGGAUUAGCUAGUUGGUGGGGUAAAGGCCUACCAAGGCGACGAUCCGUACCUGGUCUGAGAGGAUGAUCAGUCACACUGGAACUGAGACACGGUCCAGACUCCUACGGGAGGCAGCAGUGGGGAAUAUUGGACAAUGGGCGAAAGCCUGAUCCAGCCAUGCCGCGUGUAUGAAGAAGGUCUUCGGGUUGUAAAGCACUUUAAGUUGGGAGGCGUUACCAGCAGAAUAAGCACCGGCUAACUUCGUGCCAGCCGCCGCGGUAAUAC